UACGGGGGGGCAAGCGUUGUUCGGAAUUACUGGGCGUAAAGGGUUCGUAGGUGGCCAACGUAAGUCAGACGUGAAAUCCCUCAGCUACAACUGGGGAACUGCGUCUGAUACUGGUCGGCUUGAGUUCGGGAGAGGUGAGUGGAACUGCGAGUGGUAGAGGUGAAAUUCGAUAGAUAUUCGCAAGAACACCAGUGGCGAAGGCGGACUCACUGGCCCCGAGUACUGACGCUGAGGCACGAAAGCGUGGGGAGCAAACAGGG
rnacentral:rRNA from 1 species